AUUGAACGCUGGCGGCAGGCCUAACACAUGCAAGUCGAACGAGUGGCGGACGGGUGAGUAAUGUCUGUGAAACUGCCUGAUGGAGGGGGAUAACUACUGGAACCGGUAGCUAAUACCGCAUACCAUCAGAUGUGCCCAGAUGUGAUUAGCUAGUGGGUGGGGUAACGGCUCACCAAGGCGACGAUCCCUAGCUGGUCUGAGAGGAUGACCAGCCACACUGGAACUGGGACACGGUCCGGACUCCUACGGAAGGCAGCAGUGGGGAAUAGUGGACAAUGGGCGAAGGCCUAAUGCGGCCAUGCCGCGUGUAUGAAGAAGGCCUUCGAGUUGUAAGGUACUUUCGGCGGGGAGGCGUUACCCGCAGAAGAAGCACCGGCUAACUCCGUGCCAGCAGCCGCGGUAAUAC
rnacentral:rRNA from 1 species